rnacentral:rRNA from 1 species
GAUGAACGCUAGCGGCAGGCCUAAUACAUGCAAGUCGGACGGGAUCUAUCGGAGAGCUUGCUCGAAGAUAGUGAGAGUGGCGCACGGGUGCGUAACGCGUAAGCAACCUACCCAUAUCAGGGGGAUAGCCCGGAGAAAUCCGGAUUAAGACCGCAUAACACUGUGAUUUGGCAUCAUGUUACAGUUAAAUAUUUAUAGGAUAUGGAUGGGCUCGCGUGACAUUAGCUAGUUGGUGAGGUAACGGCUCACCAAGGCGACGAUGUCUAGGGGCUCUGAGAGGAGAAUCCCCCACACUGGUACUGAGACACGGACCAGACUCCUACGGGAGGCAGCAGUAAGGAAUAUUGGUCAAUGGGCGGAAGCCUGAACCAGCCAUGCCGCGUGCAGGACGACUGCCCUAUGGGUUGUAAACUGCUUUUGUCGAGGAAUAAACCUAUCUACGUGUAGAUAGCUGAACGUACUCGAAGAAUAAGGAUCGGCUAACUCCGUGCCAGCAGCCGCGGUAA